rnacentral:lncRNA from 1 species
CAGAUAGUUUAGAACAAAGGCUUAAAAGUCACAGAGAAUGAAGUAGAUCUUUGGAGCUGGGAGUCACUGAGCAAGUUGUUACAAGGCUGCAAGUAUCUUCCACAUCACUGAGCAAGUGGAUGGAGAGAGGAAAGACACCUGGUGAAUCCCGGUGAUAAGACUGAUGAUUGGAAAUAAAAUUUGCCAUGAAAUGGGACAAGCAUACUCCAGUAUGACUGCAUCACAAUUAAUUGCAUCUGCAAUGACCUUAUUCCCAAAUAAAGUCACAUUCUGAGGGGAAAUGUAGGAAUGAGCCAUCAUGAAACGAUGCCAGAGGCUGGAGAGCCUGGAUACAUUGACACAAUUGGGGGAUGAAUGAUUUAUUACAAUUCAAUUCCAGGGCAGCCCAGUCUACAGCUCCCCAGGAAGCAUCUCUAAAGGUGCUACUUGUUAAUCAUCACCAUACGAAAGGCGGGGGGGAUUGCUUUCAUCUGUGGCUUUUAUGAGACCAUCCAGCUAUUCUUCAGAGCCAGUUUCUCAUCAAAAAUGGGGUUUAUUACUACAAAAGUUAAAGACCUUAGUACACAUUUUGGUAAACAUAGAUUGAUAUCCCCUAGCAGGAAUCAAGAGAACAGAUUUCAUUUACUGAAAGGUUACCAGGCAUUGUGCUAAGGGCUCUACAUGGCUUCUUUCCAUUUAAUCCCCCAAACAACUCUAUGAAGUCGUGUGCCAGGUAAUCAAUGUAUCCUUCUCAGGUCCAAAUUCACCCUUCAGUACCUGCUCUGCCAUAAUGACGUGUAAAGCAUUUGUCCUUUACAUUGAGCGCCACGAUAAGCUUUGUCAGUAGAGGGCGCUGGAGAGACAUCACGGGAGGACGCCGCUUCUCUUCCUGGUUCUGGCCCGCUCUUUUGCUUGGUUUGCUCCACCUGCUUUGUAAAGCGUCCUCCUGUGCAUAUGUGAGGACAUCCAGUGGCAUUCUGCUCCACCCAGGCUCCCAGAGUGCCCAGUCCCUCAGCCACUUUGCAGCCCUGCUGGGGGCCCAGUGACCACCUUGCUGUGGCCUUCCUGUUGCAAAUGCCAGUGCACCCCAGGGCUCCCCAACACGCUCCCGGCCUACCCUCCAGCCUCGGUUUGCCUGCCUCCCUGGGGAGGGCUGUUUUCCACCGCCCUACUAACAUCAACACCACGAAUCCUAGGCCAAUUGUCGCCCUGCCAGGAAGCAGAUUCUCAGCAUCCUGACUCCAUCUGCCCACUCACCUUGGCUCACCUGGACCUGGGAGGGCUGUUUCCUGCUACCAGGAAGCCCACAGACUUCACCAUCCAGUGGGUGGCACCAUGCCUUCUCCAACCUAGUCCAAACCCCAGCCUCGGGGAAGGCCUCCCCCUUCCAAGUUUGUCCUUUCUUGGGCACUUUCCCUCCACCCUGGAGGACCCUUAGAGUUCCCUUCACAUCUUCAUGGAUACUCACCUAUCAUCAUUUCAUACUUCUUUAGAUUAAAACAAUCCCUGUUCAAAUUGCUGUGUGGUUUCUGUCUCCUGAUUGGAUGCAGACAGAUACAAGUAGGUACUAUUAUUUCCAUUUUAAAGAUGAGCGAAUGAGAUUUAAAGAGGCCAAAUGGCUUAGUGAGAAUCAGAUGGGAAAUGUGGCAGAGCUGGACACAAACCCCAGGAUGGUCUGGCUCUGAAGCCUUUGAUUUGCACCUCUCUGUACAUAAACCAGGAGUUAGUGGACAGAUACCACAUAAGAAAGAGGGGUGAUCCAGCCUUCUCCCUCCCCUCUUUUCCUAUGCUUAUGUGUCCUGGGUGUUUCAGAUGAAAAUAAGGGCAAAAAAUGCAAAAAUGGGCCGGCGCAGUGGCUCAUAGCCUAUUAUUAUCCCCAUUUUACAGGUUCAGAGAGAUUAGAGCAUGAUGAUAAGAAAGCCACACCAUGUGUCCUCUCCCCAGAUGGGUUACUGACCUUACAAAUAUGCUCCAAAUGGGGUCCAGUAGGAGAAAUGCAGGUAGAUCCCUGAUUGACAUUGUUCAAGUCAGCAUCACCCUCAUUAGCGGCAAAUGAGGAUAAGCAGUAAUAAGUAGUCAGGCAGGUGCUUGGAGCCAAAGGCAGGAGGGAAAAGGACAUUAAUUAGCAAAGCCAGGCACUUUAUGCAGGUGGUCUCAUUUAAUCCUUAGAGCAAUGCUAUACAUUGGGAUUAUUCCCAUUAUACAGAUAAAGAAAAUGAGGUUCAGAGAGGUUAAGUGACUUGUUCACUUACACUUCCCACCACCGGUCAGCAGCCAACCUGAGAUUGCAGUGUAUUUUGUUUGACCUCUUUCAUCACACUGCAUUGGGACAAUCCAUUGUUUGCGGCCAGGGAUUUCAGGGUCUGAGCAACCAUACAUACAUUUAUUGAGGCCAAGACCAUGUCAACUGACAGUGAAAUAACUGUUCAAUUCAGACAAAGGGAAGGUGGGGAAAGGUCUUUAAAAAGUUAGUCCUUUUCUUUGAGAUUGGCUAAGCUGAGAUCCCCUGGGUCUACGCCCAGCCUCUGCCCCAGCCCCUCCAGGACAAGUGCUGUCCUGCCUCUGAGAGAAGAAACCAAGGACCUGCUAAUCAUCUCCAUGGGAACUGACCCAGGGGUUGGACCUCAAGGAGGCUUCAGAAUAGGCCAGUUGGAGGAAGAACAGGAACAGGCUGUGAGGCAGAAACAAGGAACAAACCUAGCCAUCCUCAAAGAACAAGAAAAAGUCACAUUUUUUUUCUAUUUCUCUUUUGACCCUAUCUUUGAAGACUACAUGCUUAAGAAGAACCACUCCG